CCUACGGGAGGCAGCAGUGAGGAAUAUUGGUCAAUGGGCGCGAGCCUGAACCAGCCAAGCCGCGUGAAGGAAGAAUGUCCAGCGUAUCGUAAACCUCUUUUGUCAGGGAACAAAGGCGGGGACUAGUCCCCUGAUGAGGGUACCUGAAGAAAAAGCAUCGGCUAACUCCGUGCCAGCAGCCGCGGUAAUACGGAGUAUGCGAGCGUUAUCCGGAUUUAUUGGGUUAAAAGGGUGCGCAGGUGGCCUGUUAAGUCAGCGGUAAAAGCCCGGGGCUCAACCCCGGCGAGCCGUUGAAACUGGCGGGCUGGAGUUGGAGAGAAGUACGCGGAAUGCGCGGUGUAGCGGUGAAAUGCUUAGAUAUCGCGCAGAACCCCGAUUGCGAAGGCAGCGUACCGGCUCCACACUGACGCUGAGGCACGAAAGCGUGGGUAUCGAACAGGAUUAGAUACCCUGGUAGUC
rnacentral:rRNA from 1 species